rnacentral:lncRNA from 1 species
AGCGUUGUCCUCAAUGCUAAGAAGAAUAAUCAAAGCAGCUAAUAAUGAUUGAGGCAUAAUAACAAAGAAUACUCUCCUAAAAAUCGUUGUAAGGUGCUGGUGGUGACAGUAGUGAUGCAAGGUGUGCCUUUUCAUGAGUUGGGGGCACUUUGUGGUUGUCGGCUACAAGGGAUAAAAUUGAAAAGAAGAGUUAAGGUUCUUUUUGUUUUUAAAGUUAUUGUUGUUGUUUUUUAAAGACUUG